rnacentral:rRNA from 1 species
UACGUAGGGUCCGAGCGUUGUCCGGAGUUACUGGGCGUAAGGCGCGCGCAGGCGGCGGGGUAAGCAUGGCGUGAAAGCCCCAGGCUCAACCUGGGAGGGUCGUCGUGGACUGCACCGCUUGAGGGCGGUAGGGGCUGGUGGAAUGCCUGGUGUAGUGGUGAAAUGCGUAGAGAUCAGGCGGAACACCCGUGGCGAAGGCGGCCAGCUGGGCCGUCCCUGACGCUGAGGCGCGAAGGCGUGGGGAGCGAACAGG